rnacentral:rRNA from 1 species
AGGGGAGUGAAAAAGAACCUGAAACCGUGUACGUACAAGCAGUGGGAGCCUCUUUUAUGGGGUGACUGCGUACCUUUUGUAUAAUGGGUCAGCGACUUAUAUUCUGUAGCAAGGUUAACCGAAUAGGGGAGCCGAAGGGAAACCGAGUCUUAACUGGGCGUUAAGUUGCAGGGUAUAGACCCGAAACCCGGUGAUCUAGCCAUGGGCAGGUUGAAGGUUGGGUAACACUAACUGGAGGACCGAACCGACUAAUGUUGAAAAAUUAGCGGAUGACUUGUGGCUGGGGGUGAAAGGCCAAUCAAACCGGGAGAUAGCUGGUUCUCCCCGAAAGCUAUUUAGGUAGCGCCUCGUGAAUUCAUCUCCGGGGGUAGAGCACUGUUUCGGCAAGGGGGUCAUCCCGACUUACCAACCCGAUGCAAACUGCGAAUACCGGAGAAUGUUAUCACGGGAGACACACGGCGGGUGCUAACGUCCGUCGUGAAGAGGGAAACAACCCAGACCGCCAGCUAAGGUCCCAAAGUCAUGGUUAAGUGGGAAACGAUGUGGGAAGGCCCAGACAGCCAGGAUGUUGGCUUAGAAGCAGCCAUCAUUUAAAGAAAGCGUAAUAGCUCACUGGUCGAGUCGGCCUGCGCGGAAGAUGUAACGGGGCUAAACCAUG